GCCGUAACUAUAACGGUCCUAAGGUAGCGAAAUUCCUUGUCGGGUAAGUUCCGACCUGCACGAAUGGCGUAAUGAUGGCCAGGCUGUCUCCACCCGAGACUCAGUGAAAUUGAACUCGCUGUGAAGAUGCAGUGUACCCGCGGCAAGACGGAAAGACCCCGUGAACCUUUACUAUAGCUUGACACUGAACAUUGAGCCUUGAUGUGUAGGAUAGGUGGGAGGCUUUGAAGCGUGGACGCCAGUCUGCGUGGAGCCGACCUUGAAAUACCACCCUUUAAUGUUUGAUGUUCUAACGUGGACCCGUAAUCCGGGUUGCGGACAGUGUCUGGUGGGUAGUUUGACUGGGGCGGUCUCCUCCUAAAGAGUAACGGAGGAGCACGAAGGUUGGUUAAUCCUGGUCGGACAUCAGGAGGUUAGUGCAAUGGCAUAAGCCAGCUUGACUGCGAGCGUGACGGCGCGAGCAGGUGCGAAAGCAGGUCAUAGUGAUCCGGUGGUUCUGAAUGGAAGGGCCAUCGCUCAACGGAUAAAAGGUACUCCGGGGAUAACAGGCUGAUACCGCCCAAGAGUUCAUAUCGACGGCGGUGUUUGGCACCUCGAUGUCGGCUCAUCACAUCCUGGGGCUGAAGUAGGUCCCAAGGGUAUGGCUGUUCGCCAUUUAAAGUGGUACGCGAGCUGGGUUUAGAACGUCGUGAGACAGUUCGGUCCCUAUCUGCCGUGGGCGCUGGAGAACUGAGGGGGGCUGCUCCUAGUACGAGAGGACCGGAGUGGACGCAUCACUGGUGUUCGGGUUGKCAUGCCAAUGGCACUGCCCGGUAGCUAAAUGCGGAAGAGAUAAGUGCUGAAAGCAUCUAAGCACGAAACUUGCCCCGAGAUGAGUUCUCCCUGAGACUUAGAGUCUCCUGAAGGAACGUUGAAGACGACGACGUUGAUAGGCCGGGUGUGUAAGCGCAGCGAUGCGUUGAGCUAACCGGUACUAAUGAACCGUGAGGCUUAACCUU
rnacentral:rRNA from 1 species